rnacentral:rRNA from 1 species
UACGAAGGUGGCAAGCGUUACUCGGAAUGACUAGGCGUAAAGGGCAGGUAGGUGGUUUGGUAAGUCUGUUGUGAAAGCUCCCGGCUCAACUGGGAGAGGCCAGCGGAAACUACCAGACUUGAGUAUAGGAGAGGAUACUGGAAUUCCCGGUGUAGCGGUGAAAUGCGCAGAGAUCGGGAGGAACACCAAUGGCGAAAGCAAGUAUCUGGACUAUUACUGACACUCAGCUGCGAAAGCUAGGGGAGCAAACAGG